UUUAUAAAUUAUGAAUGUUAAAAGUGCAUGGUUUUAUUAUAAUGAAUGAAGAUAGUGGGAAUGAAGGAGAAGAAAAGGGAAAGGAAAAUGGGGUGGCGUGGAGGAUGAGAAUGGAAAAUUUGAGUGUAAAACCCUAGAAAAUGGAGAUGGGCAAAGCAUGCCGGGUAUGACAAAGACCACACACUGUAUAUUCCUUCGAGAAAGACAUGGUGGGUCCGUUACUUCUCAUACAUACAGAGGUUGAAGACAACUGAAUAACAAUGAAACAUUAUUAUUAUUAUUAUUAUUGUUAUUCUUAUUAUAAAGUGAAUGUGCCCACGGCCUCAGUACUAAUCAUCAGUCUAUGUAACGUAAAAGACUCGCAACUUUUUUUUUUCUUUACAUUCUUCUACUUUCUUCCUCCAUUUUUAUUUUCCCUAUAUUCUCUUUCAGCUUUUCUCGCCCAUGGCUCUGCUCAUUCCCCUUUGCCUCACUUCCAACUCCAUUUUAUAAAGUCUUUUUUCUUUCUCUCUGCACCUCUUUCUGCUUUCUGAGAACGAGAAUCCAAGAUAACAAAAUAAAGUCCAAGCAAAAGUGCCUCAAGAAUCUUGCUUUUUAACAUGCCAAUGGAAAGCUGCUCUAUCCUGCGCUCCACCAACUUCUGCCCUCCAGUUAUAUCAAAAUUACACCCUCACCCCAUUUCUUUAAUUUCAUGUCUCUGCACUCCAUUAUAGUUUUUAGUGACUAGAACGUAAUAUCUGAACAAAUAUAAGCAAUCGCCAUGUGAGUUAAUUAAUUAAUUACAGUCAACCAAAGAAUAAACCAUGAAUUACCCUCUU
rnacentral:lncRNA from 1 species